GGAAUCCGAAGCCAGACCUUCAUCGUGUCAUAUGCAGCGAAGCCAAUUGCCACAGAAGGAACGAUCUGGCAAUAGGCAGCGAAACGAUGCUAUUAACUACAAACUCACUGUGAAUCCAGCUUAAAGAGCAAUCACAAGGUUACACCAAGUUUGACAUGCUUUUCCUACCAAUAUUGAACUGUGAAGAGGCAUAUGAUGAUCAAGUGGUCAAGCACAUGGUCAAUUCAGGAACCACAAAAUCUAUCAUCUAGGAUACAUUCCAGAAGCAGCAAUCACUCAUACCGGAGUUCAUGUAAACAGGGUUACAGCAAGUGCCCUAUAGACUAAAGUUCACUCCCUGUAUAGCUGUACUAUGAUAAUUUUCUACAUCCUACAGUAAUAGUCAUGUCUAGAAUAGCCAGCUAAAUGAGGAUUGCACAUGUUUUGUGAUA